rnacentral:rRNA from 1 species
GACGAACGCUGGCGGCGUGCUUAACACAUGCAGGUCGAACGAAGAGCGAUGGAAGCUUGCUUCUAUCAAUCUUAGUGGCGAACGGGUGAGUAACGCGUAAUCAACCUGCCCUUCAGAGGGGGACAACAGUUGGAAACGACUGCUAAUACCGCAUACGAUCUAGUCUCGGCAUCGAGGAUAGAUGAAAGGUGGCCUCUACAUGUAAGCUAUCACUGAAGGAGGGGAUUGCGUCUGAUUAGCUAGUUGGAGGGGUAACGGCCCACCAAGGCGAUGAUCAGUAGCCGGUCUGAGAGGAUGAACGGCCACAUUGGGACUGAGACACGGCCCAGACUCCUACGGGAGGCAGCAGUGGGGAAUCUUCCGCAAUGGACGAAAGUCUGACGGAGCAACGCCGCGUGAGCGAUGACGGCCUUCGGGUUGUAAAGCUCUGUUAAUCGGGACGAAAGGCCUUCUUGCGAAUAGUGAGAAGGAUUGACGGUACCGGAAGAGAAAGCCACGGCUAACUACGUG